AGUAUAAUAAUAUUUAAAUUUACAUAUAUUUUUCACGUUUUCAAUGCCAAUUUUGUGUAAUGGCAAAGUUUCCCACUACCCGUGAAUGCCUCUUUUUUAUGUCUCUGGCUGACUCCUUAAUCUCCGCCCAGUCUCUGCUCCAUCCCUGCCGAGUGAACGAGAUCUUUGGUUUUGCCUUUGCUGACUGCUGAUCUGAUCGUCUCAAGUCUGGUGACCUGCUGCAGAAUACCCUCUCCCUCUAUCAUUAACAAGCAAUUCAGUCUGUCCUAUCACUCUCCCUCUCCCUGCUCCAUCUUUUUUGACAAGCCAUUCUAUCUUCUAUCAUUUCUCCGCCAUGAGCUCUAUCUAAGUUGACAAGCUUGAACCUGAGUUGAAACGCAAUCCUGUGACUUGAAA